rnacentral:rRNA from 1 species
CCUACGGGAGGCUGCAGUAGGGAAUUUUGCGCAAUGGGCGAAAGCCUGACGCAGCAACACCGCGUGAAUGUUAAGGCCUUCGGGGUGUAAAGUUCUGUCAAUAGGGACGAAUUUUGACUGUACCUAUAAAGGAAGCACCGGCUAACUCCGUGCCAGCAGCCGCGGUAAUACGGGGGGUGCAAGCGUUGUCCGGAAUCAUUGGGCGUAAAGCGUUCGUAGGCGGCAAGGUAAGUCUGAUGUUAAAGCCCGGAGCUCAACUCCGGUGCGGCGUGGGAUACUAGCUAGCUAGAAGGUGGGAGAGGUGAAGGGAAUUACUGGUGUAGCGGUGAAAUGCGUAGAUAUCAGGAGGAACAUCGGUGGCGAAAGCGCUUUACUGGAACAUUAUUGACGCUGAGGAACGAAAGCCAGGGGAGCAAAUGGGAUUAGAGACACUGGUAGUC